AGUAAGAUCCUUCAUCCUAUGCAGAAAAAUAGAGAUUCUCGACAUUUGAUUGAUUUUGGAGUGCUAGAAGUACUGAAAAACUGACGUGUACAGGUUUUUGAUAGCAUGCCAAAGGUCAUUGUAUAGGUCAAAGGAAAUGCUAAAUGAAGGACCCUAUAUGGCGAUCCUUCUGAUGUGAGGUUUUAGUUUGCUCUACGCUCAUCAUGCAAUUCAUGACUGCAUAUUUCUAAGGAUUCGAUUAUCAUUCCACUGGUUGAUGUUAAUGCUGAAAUAUCCAAGAGAGCUUUCACAAGGCUAUUCUAAAAGGAAUCGAAAUCAUAGAAGGAUCGGGAGUUCAACAUUUCUUGAACUUCUCCAAACACUGAGAAUGCAUCCUUGGAUUGAUAAAAGGUUGUUUGCAUGUUGUCAGGCCACAUUUCCUCUGGGCUCUUUGAGCUCUAUCCUUCACAAGCCCUCUUGCAGUUCGCAUCCUUGCGAUUUGUUCCAGCACUAGUGCUGUGUUUUAGGCUACCCAUAGAGCUUUAGUUAUGGAAACUAACAAAGGACCACAGUGCAUCAUGCUUGCGUUUCAACUUCAGUUCAAAAAACCACUGGCUCUCAAGUUCGGCUCCCAGCGUUCUUUCGCGACCUAAUGGGCGGUCAACUCAAUAGUUCCGACUCGGUUUUGUGAAGUUUGCUCGAUUUUUAUUGGCAGGUGAAGAUAGUGGAGUGGAAAUUGGAGAAGCGUUUGCUGGCGAUGGUCACAAAGGACUUAAAGUUGGUGCUUUGUCACUUCUAUUGGCAGAGGUUGAGGACAGUCUCCUUGUCUUCAAAGCGAGAAAGUUGGUUAGCUUAAUAUUCCUUGGAUACUGCAUAGUAUGGACAGCUUAGUAUUUCCUUAAUGUACUCUAGCAACUAUUUUGGUAGGCCUUCACUAGGUUGUGCUAUUCAUUUGUGUACCAAAGAAUUCUAAUACUAUGGUGUGAUGGAACUUGGUCAUGCUUUAAAUGUCAGAAUGAUAUGCUGUCAAGCCUAGUAUUGUUUUCA